rnacentral:rRNA from 1 species
UACGAACUGUGCAAACGUUAUUCGGAAUCACUGGGCUUAAAGGGUGCGUAGGCGGCUUAGCAAGUAGGGUGUGAAAGCCCCCGGCUUAACCGGGGAAUUGCGCCCUAAACUGCUGAGCUGGAGUGAGAGUAGGGGUGUGUGGAACUUCCGGUGGAGCGGUGAAAUGUGUUGAUAUCGGAAGGAACGCCGGUGGCGAAAGCGACACACUGGAUCUCAACUGACGCUGAGGCACGAAAGCCAGGGGAGCGAACGGG